rnacentral:rRNA from 1 species
UACAGAGGUCUCAAGCGUUGUUCGGAUUCAUUGGGCGUAAAGGGUGCGUAGGUGGCGUGGUAAGUCGGAUGUGAAAUCCCGGGGCUCAACCCCGGAACUGCAUUCGAUACUGCUGCGCUAGAGUACUGGAGAGGAGAUUGGAAUUUACGGUGUAGCAGUGAAAUGCGUAGAUAUCGUAAGGAAGACCAGUGGCGAAGGCGGAUCUCUGGACAGUUACUGACACUGAGGCACGAAGGCCAGGGGAGCAAACGGG